rnacentral:tRNA from 1 species
AUAAACUUUGUUAUGCUUUAUUAAAAGUUAGAAGCUUUUUAGAAUAUUUCUUC